rnacentral:rRNA from 1 species
CAGCUAGCUUACCCACCAAUAUAACCAAACAAUAUAAAUAAAAUAAAUAAACCAAACACCAAAAAAUAAAUCAUUCUUUUACCUGAGUAUGGGAGACAGAAAAGGUUUAACCAUAAGCAAUAGAAAUAGUACCGCAAGGGAAAGCUGAAAGAGAAAUGAAACAACCCAUAUAAGCACCAAAAAGCAAAGACUAAACCUUGUACCUUUUGCAUCAUGAUUUAGCCAGUAAAUACAAGCAAAGAGACCUUUAGUUUGAAACCCCGAAACCAGGUGAGCUACCCCGAGACAGCCUAUAAAGGGCCAACCCGUCUCUGUGGCAAAAGAGUGGGAAGAACUCCGGGUAGAAGUAAUAGACCUAUCGAACCUGGUGAUAGCUGGUUGCCUAAGAAACGAAUAAAAGUUCAGCCUCGUACACCUCAAAUCAAAUCAAUCAAACAAACAAAUAUAUCAAGACAAUAAGAGAAAUAUACGAAAGUUAGUUAAAAGGGGUACAGCCCCUUUAACAAAGGAUACAACCUUAUCUAGGAGGAUAAAGAUCAUAAUAUAUAAAACAUACCGUUCUAGUGGGCCUAAAAGCAGCCACCUAAACAGAAAGCGUUAAAGCUCAGACAGAAAAAAGUUUAUUAUUACGAUAAACAAUCUUACUCCCCUAAAUAUUAUUAGGCUUAUCCAUGCCCCCAUGGAAAUAAUUAUGCUAAAAUGAGUAACAAGAAGGCCUGCCCUUCUCCAAGCACAAGUGUAAGCCAAACCGGACCAACCAUUGGCAACUAACGAACUCAACCCAAGAGAGCAAUGCGAACCAUAAAAAAACCAAGAAAAACUCACAAACGCAAAAUCGUUACCCCCACACUGGAAUGCUAUUUAAAGGAAAGACUAAAAGAAAAGGAAGGAACUCGGCAAACACAAGCCUCGCCUGUUUACCAAAAACACCGCCUCCCGCAACACAACCCAGUAUAGGAGGUCCAGCCUGCCCAGUGACUACAAGUUCAACGGCCGCGGUAUUUUGACCGUGCAAAGGUAGCGCAAUCACUUGUCUUUUAAAUAGAGACCUGUAUGAAUGGUUAAACGAGGGCUUAACUGUCUCCCCUUUCAAGUCAGUGAAAUUGAUCUGCCCGGCAGAAGCG